AGCGAACGCUGGCGGUAGGCCUAACACAUGCAAGUCGAACGGCAGCACAGUAAGAGCUUGCUCUUACGGGUGGCGAGUGGCGGACGGGUGAGGAAUACAUCGGAAUCUACUUUUUCGUGGGGGAUAACGUAGGGAAACUUACGCUAAUACCGCAUACGACCUACGGGUGAAAGCAGGGGAUCUUCGGACCUUGCGCGAUUGAAUGAGCCGAUGUCGGAUUAGCUAGUUGGCGGGGUAAAGGCCCAGCAAGGCGACGAUCCGUAGCUGGUCUGAGAGGAUGAUCAGCCACACUGGAACUGAGACACGGUCCAGGCUCCUACGGGAGGCAGCAGUGGGGAAUAUUGGACAAUGGGCGCAAGCCUGAUCCAGCCAUACCGCGUGGGUGAAGAAGGCCUUCGGGUUGUAAAGCCCUUUUGUUGGGAAAGAAAAGCAGCAGGUUAAUACCCCGCUGUUCUGACGGUACCCAAAGAAUAAGCACCGGCUAACUUCGUG
rnacentral:rRNA from 1 species